AUGAAGGUCUUGUUGUUGUUCGCUCUCGUUGCGGCUGCUGCCGCCUGGCCGAACUUGGCUUCCAGUCGGACGCGGGGGGCGCGGCUGAUGCUCAGAAGCAACAUGACGUGAACUUCCUGCUUCAUAAGAUCUACGGGGAUAUCCGUGACUCAAAUCUAAAAGGCAAAGCUGAUUCCUUUGACCCGGAAGCCAAUUUAUCCCAUUACAGUGACGGAGGUAAAGCAGUACAGACACUUAUGAGAGACCUGAAGGAUAACAGGCUUCUUCAACAAAGGCAUUGGUUCUCUCUCUUCAAUCCUAGGCACGCGAAGAAGCACUUAUGCUCUUUGAUGUUCUCAUUCACUGCAAGGAUUGGGAUACAUUUGUCAGCAAUGCUGCCUACUUCCGCCAAAUUAUGAAUGAGGGAGAAUUUGUUUAUGCCUUGUAUGUUGCGGUCAUCCACUCACCUCUGUCUAAACACGUUGUACUUCCUCCACUCUAUGAAGUCACGCCACAUCUCUUCACCACAGCGAAGUCAUUGAAGCAGCUUAUCGUGCCAAGCAGACACAAAACCUGGUAAAUUUAAGUCUAGCUUCACUGGAACUAAGAAGAAUCCUGAACAAAGAGUAGCCUAUUUCGGUAGGACAUUGGAAUGAACACUCAUCACGUCACCGGGCAUAUGGAAUUCCCAUUCUGGUGGGACGACAAAUACAGCCAUCAUCUGGAUCGUAAAGGAGAGAAUUUCUUCUGGGUACAUCAUCAACUCACCGUUCGCUUUGAUGCUGAACGUCUCUCCAAUUACUUGGAUCCCGUCGACGAACUUCACUGGAGAAGCCAAUCGUACAAGGUUUUGCUCCCCACACCACUUACAAGUAUGGAGGACAAAUUUCCCCUCUCGUCCAGAUAAUGUGAACUUCGAAGAUGUGGAUGGUGUUGCUCGUAUUCGAGACUUGCUUUAUUGUAGAGAGCCGAAUCCGCGAUGCUAUUGCACAUGGUUAUAUCGUCGACAGGGCUGGUAAUCAUAUUGAUAUCAUGAUGAGCGUGGCAUUGACGUUCUUGGAGAUGUUUUUUGAAUCAUCUUUGUACAGCCCUAAUGUGCGUACUAUGGCCUUGCACAAUACUGCUCACAUUGUACUUGGUCGACAGAGUGAUCCACAUGGAAAAUAUGAUUUACCCCCCGGUGUGCUGGAACACUUUGAAACUGCCACCCGUGAUCCUAGCUUCUUUAGGCUUCAUAAAUACAUGGAUAACAUCUUCAAAGGGAAAACAAGGACAGUCUCCCUCCAUACACCGUGGAAGAACUAACAUUUGCCGGUGUAAGUGUAGACAAUGUAGCAAUUGAAGGCGAACUAGAGACCUUCUUUGAGGAUUUCGAAUACAAUCUCAUUAACGCUGUUGAUGACACUGAACAAAUUGCAGAUGUAGAAUUUCUACUUACGUGCCUCGUCUGAACCAUAAGGACUUUAAAAUUAAGAUUGAUGUUAGCAAUAAAAAGGGCCAGGAAGUUCUAGCUACCCGUUCGCAUUUUUGCCUGGCCUCACCUAGACAAACAUGGUAUUGAAUUCACCUUCGACGAAGGCCGUUGGAAUGCUAUUGAACUGGAUAAGUUCUGGGUCAAGUUGCCUGCUGGAACACACCAUUUCGAACGUAAAUCCUCGGAAUCUGCUGUCACUGUGCCUGAUGUACCUAGCUUCGCAACUCUCUUCGAGAAGACCAAAGAAGCCUUAGCUGGUGCAGACUCCGGACUUACAGAUUUCGAGAGUGCAACUGGUAUUCCUAAUCGAUUCCUUCUCCCUAAGGGUAAUGAACAGGGUCUAGAAUUCGAUCUUGUUGUAGCCGUGACUGAUGGCGCAGCCGAUGCAGCAGUGGAUGGCCUCCACGAAAAUACCGAAUUCAAUCACUACGGUUCCCAUGGAAAGUACCCUGACAAUCGCCCACAUGGCUACCCUCUGGAUCGCAAGGUUCCCGACGAACGUGUAUUCGAAGAUCUGCCCAACUUCGGUCACAUCCAAGUUAAGGUCUUCAAUCAUGGCGAAUAUAUUCAACAUCAAUAUGCAUUGUUUUCCAUUUAAAAAAUCUAUAAUUUUUCUUUAAUAGGUGCAGCUGAUGCUCAGAAGCAACAUGACGUGAACUUCCUGCUUCAUAAGAUCUACGGGGAUAUCCGUGACUCAAUCUAAAAGGCAAAGCUGAUUCCUUUGACCCGGAAGCCAAUUUAUCCCAUUACAGUGACGGAGGUAAAGCAGUAACAGACACUUAUGAGAGACCUAAAGAUAACAGGCUUCUUCAACAAAGCAUUGGUUCUCUCUCUUCAAUCCUAGGCAACGCGAAGAAGCACUUAUGCUUUUUGAUGUUCUCAUUCACUGCAAGGAUUGGGAUACAUUUGUCAGCAAUGCUGCCUACUUCCGCCAAAUUAUGAAUGAGGGAGAAUUUGUUUAUGCCUUGUAUGUUGCGGUCAUCCACUCACCUCUGUCUGAACACGUUGUACUUCCUCCACUCUAUGAAGUCACGCCACAUCUCUUCACGAAUAGCGAAGUCAUUGAAGCAGCUUAUCGUGCCAAGCAAACACAAAAACCUGGUAAAUUUAAGUCUAGCUUCACUGGAACUAAGAAGAAUCCUGAACAAAGAGUAGCCUAUUUCGGUGAGGACAUUGGAAUGAACACUCAUCACGUCACCUGGCAUAUGGAAUUCCCAUUCUGGUGGGACGACAAAUACAGCCAUCAUCUGGAUCGUAAAGGAGAGAAUUUCUUCUGGGUACAUCAUCAACUCACCGUUCGUUUUGAUGCUGAACGUCUCUCCAAUUAUUUGGAUCCCGUCGACGAACUUCACUGGGAGAAGCCAAUCGUACAAGGUUUUGCUCCCCACACCACAUACAAGUAUGGAGGUCAGUUUCCCUCUCGUCCAGAUAAUGUGAACUUCGAGGAUGUGGAUGGUGUUGCUCGUAUUCGAGAUUUACUUAUUGUAGAGAGCCGAAUCCGCGAUGCUAUUGCACAUGGUUAUAUCGUUGACAGGGCUGGUAAUCAUAUUGAUAUCAUGAAUGAGCGUGGAAUUGACGUUCUUGGAGAUAUUAUUGAAUCAUCUUUGUACAGCCCUAAUGUGCAGUACUAUGGAGCCUUGCACAAUACUGCUCACAUUGUACUUGGUCGACAGAGUGAUCCACAUGGAAAAUAUGAUUUACCCCCUGGUGUGCUGGAACACUUUGAAACUGCCACCCGUGAUCCUAGCUUCUUUAGGCUGCAUAAAUACAUGGAUAACAUCUUCAAGGAACACAAGGAUAGUCUCCCUCCAUACACCGUUGAAGAACUAACAUUUGCCGGUGUAAGUGUAGACAUGUAGCAAUUGAAGGUGAACUAGAGACCUUCUUUGGGACUUCGAAUAUAAUCUCAUUAACGCCGUUGAUGACACUGAACAAAUGCAGAUGUAGAAAUUUCUACUUACGUGCCUCGUCUGAACCAUAAGGACUUUAAAAUUAAGAUUGAUGUUAGCAAUAACAAGGGCCAGGAAGUUCUAGCUACCGUUCGCAUUUCGCCUGGCCUAACCUAGACAACAAUGGUUUUGAAUUCACCUUCGACGAAGCCGUUGGAAUGCUAUUGAACCGGAUAAGUUCUGGGUCAAGGUGAUACUUUAUGACUUAAAGCAUGCCCCGCUGGAAACACACCAUUUCGAACGUAAAUCCUCGGAAUCUGCUGUCACUGUGCCUGAUGUGCCUAGUUUCGCAACUCUCUUUGAGAAGACCAAAGAAGCCUUAGCGGGUGCAAAAUCCCGGGCUUACAGAUUUCGAGAGUGCAACUGGGAUUCCUAA